UACAGAGGCCUCGAGCGUUAGGCGGAAUCACUGGGCUUAAAGCGUGUGUAGGCGGACGGCUAAGUACCUUGUGAAAUCCCACGGCUCACCCGUGGAACGGCUGGGUAUACUGGUCGUCUUGAGCCUUCUAGGGGCUGCCGGAACAAAUGGUGGAGCGGUGAAAUGCGUAGAUAUCGGGAGGAACACCAGUGGCGAAGGCGGUUACCUGGGCUUGUUCUGACGCUGAGGCACAAAAGCUGGGGGAGCAAACGGG
rnacentral:rRNA from 1 species